GAGCGGCGAACGGGUGAGUAACACGUGAGUAACCUGCCCCUGACUCUGGGAUAAGCCCGGGAAACUGGGUCUAAUACCGGAUACGACACCUCCUGGCAUCGGGUGGGUGUGGAAAGUCUUUUCGGUUGGGGAUGGACUCGCGGCCUAUCAGCUUGUUGGUGGGGUAAUGGCCUACCAAGGCGACGACGGGUAGCCGGCCUGAGAGGGCGACCGGCCACACUGGGACUGAGACACGGCCCAGACUCCUACGGGAGGCAGCAGUGGGGAAUAUUGCGCAAUGGGCGAAAGCCUGACGCAGCGACGCCGCGUGGGGGAUGACGGCCUUCGGGUUGUAAACCUCUUUCAGCAGGGACGAAGUUGACGUGUACCUGCAGAAGAAGCGCCGGCUAACUACGUGCCAGCAGCCGCGGUAAUACGUAGGGCGCAAGCGUUGUCCGGAAUUAUUGGGCGUAAAGAGCUCGUAGGUGGCUUGUCACGUCGGGUGUGAAAGCUUGGGGCUUAACUCCAGGUCUGCAUUCGAUACGGGCUGGCUAGAGGUAGGUAGGGGAGAACGGAAUUCCU
rnacentral:rRNA from 2 species